UACGUAGGGGGCUAGCGUUGUCCGGAAUCAUUGGGCGUAAAGCGCGCGUAGGCGGCCCGGUAAGUCCGCUGUGAAAGUCCAGGGCUCAACCCUGGAAAGCCGGUGGAUACUGCCGGGCUAGAGUCCGGGAGAGGCGAGUGGAAUUCCUGGUGUAGCGGUGGAAUGCGCAGAUAUCAGGAGGAACACCGAUGGCGAAGGCAGGUCUCUGGGCCACUACUGACGCUGAGAAGCGAAAGCAUGGGGAGCGAACAGG
rnacentral:rRNA from 1 species